CUAAAAAUACAAAAAUUAGCUGGGCGUGGUGUCGUGUACCUGUAAUCCCAGCUACUCAAGAGGCUGAGGCAGGAGAAUCGCUUGAACCCAGGAGGCAGAGGUUGCAGUGAGCCAAGAUUAAGUCACUGCACUCCAGCCUGGGUGACAGAGCAAGACUCUGUAUCAAAAUAAAUAAAUAAAGUACAACUCUGGAUGGGCAUGGUGGCUUAUGUCUGUAAUCCCAGCACUUUGGGAAGUUGAGGCGGGUAGAUUGCUUGAGUCCGGGAGUUUGAGACCAGUCUGGGUAAUAUGGUAACCCUGUCUACCAAAAAUACAGGUAUUAGCCAGUCUCAUAACUCGGUCUCAAAAUAAAUACAUACAUACAUACAUAGAUGAAAAUUAAAAAAAUAAAGUACAACUCAGCGGUUUUCAGCAUAUUUACAGAGUUGUACAAUCUUCACCACUAUCUAAUUUCAGAACAUUUUCAUCACCCCCAAAAGAAACCUAACCCAUUGACUAUCUCUCCAUUUCCUCCCUCUCCCUAGCCUCUGGCAACCACUAACCUCUUUUUUGUCUCUAUAGAUUUGCCUAUUUUGGACAGUUCAUAUACAAGGAAUCAUACCACAUGUAGCCUUUUGUGUCCGGCUUCUUUGAUUAAUAGAAUGUUUUCAAGGCUCAUCUAUGCUGUAGCCUGUAUCAGCACUUCAUUCCUUUCUAUGGCUGAAUAAUAGUCCACUGUAGGGAUGUGCCAUGUUUUUCCACUAGUUGAUGGACAUUUGGGUUGUUUCCACCUUCUGGCUAUUAUAAAUAUUGCUGCUAUAAAUAUUCACUUACAAGUUUUUGUGUGGACAUAUGUUUUUAUUUCUUCUGGUAUAUCCUUCGGAGUGGAACUGCUGGAUCAGGUGGUAACUCUAGGUCUAACCUGGCAGUUAAACAGAAUCCUAUGCAUGCUGUAGUCCAUGAGUUUAAAUAAACACUUGACCCAUAGUAAGUGCCAAAUCAUCUUCAUUUCACAGCAACCUGUAAUUUCACAGAUGAGGAAAUGAAGGCUCCCAGAGGUGAACUGGCUUUUCCCAUUUGACCAGUUCCAAGUCAGACAGUUAAAAAGUGGCAGGACCUGGAAAAGAAGCUAGUUCUUUCACCCUGGCAUUCAGGGCUGCCUCCUGGGCUACGGGGCUGGCAUUUAGAAUAGAGCUAAGGUCUGCUGCCAAGGCAGGUGCCCCAGUCUGCCUCCUCUGUGUCCUUAUUCCACUUUCUCUGCAGCCCUCCAGGGGACCCCUCUUUCAGCCACCCUCUCUCUGGUGAUGUCACAGUGCUGCCGGAAGAUCAAAGAUACGGUGCAGAAACUGGCUUCGGACCAUAAAGACAUUCACAGCAGUGUAUCCCGAGUGGGCAAAGCCAUUGACAGGAACUUCGACUCUGAGAUCUGUGGUGUUGUGUCAGAUGCGGUGUGGGACGCGCGGGAACAGCAGCAGCAGAUCCUGCAGAUGGCCAUCGUGGAACACCUGUACCAGCAGGGCAUGCUCAGCGUGGCCGAGGAGCUGUGCCAGGAAUCAACACUGAAUGUGGACUUGGAUUUCAAGCAGCCUUUCCUAGAGUUGAAUCGAAUCCUGGAAGCCCUGCACGAACAAGACCUGGGUCCUGCGUUGGAAUGGGCCGUCUCCCACAGGCAGCGCCUGCUGGAACUCAACAGCUCCCUGGAGUUCAAGCUGCACCGACUGCACUUCAUCCGCCUCUUGGCAGGAGGCCCCGCGAAGCAGCUGGAGGCCCUCAGCUAUGCUCGGCACUUCCAGCCCUUUGCUCGGCUGCACCAGCGGGAGAUCCAGGUGAUGAUGGGCAGCCUGGUGUACCUGCGGCUGGGCUUGGAGAAGUCACCCUACUGCCACCUGCUGGACAGCAGCCACUGGGCAGAGAUCUGUGAGACCUUUACCCGGGACGCCUGUUCCCUGCUGGGGCUUUCUGUGGAGUCCCCCCUUAGCGUCAGCUUUGCCUCUGGCUGUGUGGCGCUGCCCGUGUUGAUGAACAUCAAGGCUGUGAUUGAGCAGAGGCAGUGCACUGGGGUCUGGAAUCACAAGGACGAGUUACCGAUUGAGAUUGAACUAGGCAUGAAGUGCUGGUACCACUCCGUGUUCGCUUGCCCCAUCCUCCGCCAGCAGACGUCAGAUUCCAACCCUCCCAUCAAGCUCAUCUGCGGCCAUGUUAUCUCCCGAGAUGCACUCAAUAAGCUCAUUAAUGGAGGAAAGCUGAAGUGUCCCUACUGUCCCAUGGAGCAGAACCCGGCAGAUGGGAAACGCAUCAUAUUCUGAUUCCUACCUGGAAGGAAUUUUGUUGAAAGGGGUUUUCACCUGUGAGCCUUGGUCUGUCCCGGUAGGGUGGUCAACUUCAGUGGACUGUGGUUGGUUUCAGAGCGCCUGGCUGAGGAGUUCCACUGAGGGGAGCGCUGGAGCAGCCCUUUGGCAGAGGCUGAGGAGGGAGAUGGACCAGCCCACGCCUGGCACCUGGCUCCAUGGCAUAAGGAAAGGGAGAUGCUGGCCUCUGUGCUCCUGCUGUCUCUUCCUGUUUCUGUUUGACUUAGUAGCAACCGACAGAGUGGCAAGGGAUUUGGUCUUCAGCAGUGGACAUCCUUCCACCCCUGCCCUCAGCCAAGUCUCUUGCUGCCAUGCCAAUGCUAUGUCCACCCUUGCCCCUCGGCCCAAGGGUGUCCAGCGGUGGCCCACCUCUUCCUCCCACUACAGCCUCAACAGUAUGUACCAUCUCCCACUGUAAAUAGUCCCAGUUAGAACAGAAUGCCGUUGUUUUAUAACUUUGAACAAAUGUAUUUGCUGCCCUUCUCA
rnacentral:sRNA from 1 species